GGAGACAUAGCUCGGCGGUAGAGCGUUCGACCGCAGAUCGAAAGGUCCCUGGUUCGAAUCCAGGUGUCCGUUCA
rnacentral:tRNA from 1 species